rnacentral:tRNA from 1 species
AAAUCCUUAUAAAGGGUUUUUACUAAGUUUCUCUGAUUUAGGGCAGCUAUUGGGAUUAA